AGUAGUCAUAUGCUUGUCUCAAAGAUUAAGCCAUGCAUGUCUCAGUGCAAGCCAAAUUAAGGUGAAACCGCGAAUGGCUCAUUAAAUCAGUUAUGGUUCCUUGGAUCCUACUAAUCCUACUUGGAUAACUGUGGUAAUUCUAGAGCUAAUACAUGCACCUAGAGCUCCGUCCAGAAAUGGCCGGGGCGCAAUUAUUAGAUCAAAACCAAUCGGUCGGGUCCGCCCGUCCGUCGCUUUGAUGACUCUGAAUAACCACAGCUGAUCGCACGGCCUCGCGCCGGCGACGUAUCCUUCGAAUGUCUGCCUUAUCAACUGUCGAUGGUAGGUUCUGCGCCUACCAUGGUUGUAACGGGUAACGGGGAAUCAGGGUUCGAUUCCGGAGAGGGAGCCUGAGAAACGGCUACCACAUCCAAGGAAGGCAGCAGGCGCGCAAAUUACCCACUCCCGGCACGGGGAGGUAGUGACGAAAAAUAACGAUACGGGACUCAUCCGAGGCCCCGUAAUCGGAAUGAGAACACUUUAAAACUUUUAACGAGUACCUAAUGGAGGGCAAGUCUGGUGCCAGCAGCCGCGGUAAUUCCAGCUCCAUUGGCGUAUAUUAAAGU
rnacentral:rRNA from 1 species